GUGGGGUGGCCGAGUGGCUGAAGGCGCUGGUUUGCUAAACCAGUAUACGGGAUACCGUAUCGAGGGUUCGAAUCCCUCUCCCAC
rnacentral:tRNA from 1 species